rnacentral:rRNA from 1 species
ACUCCUACGGGAGGCAGCAGUAGGAAUUUCCGCAAUGGACGAAGUCUGACGGAGCAAUGCCGCGUGAGUGAUGAAGGUUUCGAAUCGUAAAGCUCUGUUGUAAGGGAAGAAUAGCAGUAGUAGGAAAUGACUACUGUGUGACGGUACCUUACCAGAAGCCACGGCUAACUACGUGCCAGCAGCCGCGGUAAUACGUAGGUGGCAAGCGUUAUCCGGAAUUAUUGGGCGUAAAGCGCAUGUAGGCGGCUCUUUAAGUCUGAUGUGAAAGCCUGUGGCUCAACCACAGAAUUGCAUUGGAUACUGGAGAGCUAGAAUCUUGGAGAGGUAA